rnacentral:lncRNA from 1 species
AAGUAAUAGUCACAAUUAAUAAACCACCAUAUUAAUUUUAAGAUUAAUUUCAUACAAAUUCCUGCAAACAUAGUGAAUGGCAAAUGUAUCCUUACAAAGUUUAACUUUCAUAUAUUAUUCCUGCAAAAGUAAGUCAUGAUGUUUUCAAAUUUGUCCCUCUAAUUUGUUACCGUUAGAGAGCUGUUUAUAUUUUCAAAUUUGCAAUCACAAAUACGUCCCUCCAAAAGCCAUUACAAUAUAAUAUAAGAGGAGUAAAAAUAUCAAAAACUAACCAAGGUUAAGUAUUAACCUAUGAUUUGUCGGAUUGUUGGCGCUAACCAUUAAUCCCAAAAGCUCGAACUGUUAGAAAUAUGCAACCAAUUCAUUUAAAACGUACAGAUAUAGCGCCCACGGGUCUCGAUUGUGACUCGGCCCAAUGAGCCUCACGCCACUUCGAACAUGACUCGGCCCAUUCAGCCUCACGCUAUUUCGAACAUGACUCGACCCAUCCAACCUCAUACCAUUUUGAACAUGACUCGACCUAACAUGGCCUCCUGCCAUAAGGCAGGAUGCUGGCUCAUUUAAGCCAACAAUCCCCCAUCCAGCAGCUGCACACAUUCGCAGCAUCCGAAAAUCAAACCCGUGACCACUAGCUCUGAUACCACUUGUCGGAUUGUUGGUGCUAACCAUUAAUUCCAAAAGCUCGAGCUGUUAAAAAUACACAACCAAUUACUUAAAACAUACAGAUAUAGCGCCCAGAGUCUCGAUUGUGACUCGGCCCAAUCAGCCUCACGCCACUUUGAACGCCACUUCGAAUAUGACUCGGCCCAUCCAACCUCAUGCUAUUUCGAAUAUGACUUAGUCCAACAUGGCCUCCCGCCACAGCAGGAUGCUGGUCCAUUUAAGCCAACAUAUUUUAACUUAAUUUUCUAACGGCAGAAAUAUAUUCAAAAAUAUCAAGACUUUUACAAGAACAACAUACAAAAGUUGAACUUUGUAGAAAUAUAUUUGUCAUUCACUACGUUUGUAGGGACCUGUAUCAAAUUAAUCCAUAAUUUUAUAUCAUAUGCACAUAUAUAACAUACCCAACUCUAGUAUAUUUAGAAUUUAUACUCUAAUGUAAAUUUAAGUUCUUCCCAAUUUAUCUUUUACGUAUUUAAAUCUUCAUCUUAAUAUAAUUUAACUACAAAUGUGAUCAAAUCCAAACAUCAUUAAUGCCACAACAUUUGUGAAUAGUGUCUGAUGAUGUAAAACUAAUUAUGACAGCAUGAGAAAUUGCCAAAUAUAAGUCACAUACCGCACGCGGCAUGCUCAGCAGCACUUUCUGGAACAGUAGUGAACAAAAAAACAUAAACAUACAUCAGUAAUCAAGAAUUCUGGUUAGAGGCAACAAAUGAAGUUACCAAAAAGAUAACUGAAAGCACAUUCUGACCAUACAAACACACUGCUCUCUCUCAAAAUCUGACUUGAGAAGGUAGAUAUUAGAAUUGUGAUUUGUCGAGGGUAUCGAAGUAGGGAUGUUCCAUCGCUGCUUUUGCUGAUAUUCUGCUUGCCGGGUCGAACUGAAGCAUUUUCUGCAGGUUAUUAAACACCAAUACAGAAUUUUAAUGGACACUAGAUGAUGAUGAUAGAGGUAGAAUCUUGUUUUGACAAAUUUUAAAUUCCUAUUUGAUGCCGAAGGUACUGGAACUUGAAACACCACAGUUACAAAUCAUGCAUUUUAAAUUAAACGCCACCAUCAAUUCAUCUAAAGAUUUAUUAUGUUCCCUAGUUCAAGAUUAAAUUUGAGCUAAAAAUCGGUGGAUGGUAUGUUUAUCAAUUAUAUAAUCCUAUUUUAGAAGCAUCAUAACUAACGAAGUGUUGCUUUUCCCAAUUUCUGGAUAUCUAAUUUGAGGUUCUAUAAAUUAGUUUAAUGAUAUGGUGAUUUACCGAGAGAAGGUCUACACCCUCCGGUUCCAGUGCUGGAACUGCACGAGCCAAAUUUUGGGACUUCCACUGCGGAUAUUCAUGCCAAUCUCUCAGAGAGCUGACUCCAGGCCAUAACUCAUCAUUCGGAGUCCCCAGCAUCCUUUCAGAAAAGAAGUACAAUAUUCGGAUAAAACAAAAUAAUUUAUUAACAUACAUAUAGUCGAUGAAACUAGGAUACAUUACUUUUGCCUUACCCAGAUCUAGAAAAUGUUGAUUAAGGUGGAUCAAAAUUGUUAAGAUAGAAUGUUAAACUUUCUACAGUCAAAACAAGAAUGUGUCAAAGGUUCAUUAGAAGAUAUUAAUACUUAAUGACAAUUUAGUUUGAUUUGGAAGUUGAAACAAAUUCAUAAUUCUAAUUCACUUUAUUUUUGGAUAACCUUUGUAAUUCUCUAACUCCAAUCAGGCAAUGUAAGAAAUGAAAACACACUAAUGGUGAUAAUUGCAUAUGUAAUGUGUUGAAUAAACUAGCAGCUCAUAUUAUUUUUAACGAACCUGAAAAUGUGUAGCAACUGCUGCAAUUCCGAAUCACCAGGGAAAAGGGCUUGUCUUCUAACCAUUUCAGCUGCAUAAAUAGAAAAUUAAGUCAGAAAAGGCAUCAAAAGGAGCAGAAACCAGGCAACAUAAUCCAUGCUUGCUUACCCUCCCAAAGUUUCUUAAGCCAUGCACAGUUUAAAUCCAGUGUGAUUUACAUAAAAGUCACAAGAAUUUGCUAUUAAAGGGAAAUAGAAUCUCUAAAUUUUCAAACAGUGCCUGAACUUUUAAACUUAAACUAAAGAGAGUUAGUAAUAUUGCCCAUGCUGAGGCAACAAGAACUAUUUGGUACAGACUAGCAUUAUUUAUGAUUUCAAGGCCAUAAGAUUUAGGCAGUAGUAGGGGCUAAGUCGGCUUCCAUGUCUCUCAAUAACUCAUGUCUUUUUGCUUUCAGUCACACCAGUAGCACACAAAAUAUAUGGACUCACAUAAAUAUCAGAAAGUGCUGUUGAUCUUAAAGAAACAAGUGUGCGAAUUAUCUUGUGUUAGCUCUCAGAUUUGGUAGCAUUUUCUUAACCGUCUCUUUUACGACAAUUCUGAACUGGCUCAGAUUUAGUUAUUGAAAAACAAGCAUCCUGUGAAUCAGAAAGUGCUACUAGUAUGCUACUCUUAUUGGUCUAGAUUGAACUGAAGGUUGGUUAGACAAAACAAAGAAUUUAGAGAAAUAAAAAGUUAUCCAAAUGAAUUCGAAGAAAGUAGUACUUAACAUACCAAAUAUACAUCCAACAGACCACAUAUCAACUCCAGUAGAGUAGUGUGUUGUCCCUAGCAAAACUUCAGGAGCUCUAUACCACAGGGUAACAAUCUACAACAGCAGAAACUGGUUUAAUAGUCUAUCCCAUUAAUUUAACUUAAAAAAUGGAAGUGAAAAAUAUACAAAAAGAUCAAACAACGUGGGUGACAUUAAAGAUGUCCGUGGAUCGGGUCGGGUCUGGAUAAUUAAUAUACUGUACCCAUACCCUAAAAAGAAAUGGUUACAAAAAAAUAUAUAGACCCUAUCCAUUUAACUUCGGGUCAGGUCCGGGUCUGGGUACUAAAGUUUCUAAUAUACCCAUCGGGUCUAUUUGAGCGGGUCUGGAUAGUGACUACUCGUAUACUACCCGUUCAAAAUCGGAUAUGGAUCGGGUCUAAAUCGGGUACGGAUAUCCGUAUAAAUAUAUUUUUUUAUAAACUUUAUUAAAUAGUCAAUAAACAAACUAUAUUGUUGACAAUGAAAUAUUGUUGGCAGAAAUGAAAUGAAAAAAAAGAGUAGAAAACAAAGAGUAAAAAAAUUAGAAAAAAGUAAUGAGUAAAAGAGACGGCUAGGGUUUCAUUAGGAUGAAAAUACAUAGUGACUCAUCAUCUAUGAGUCAUAUUAAAAUUGAUCCUUCAACUUCAAAAGUUUAUUUUUUUUUAUUUACUAUCGGAUAUUUCAUCGGGUCCGGGUCCGGGUCCGGGUCCGGAUUUGAAAACUAUUCCGGACCCUACCCAUUUAAAAGUUAGGUUCGGGUCGGGUCCAAAUCGGGUAUGGGUAUAAAAUAUCCGGACCUAUACCCGAAAUUUUAAUGGGUAAUUUUUUUUAUCCGUAUACUAUUCAUUUUUUAUCGGGUCCGGUUCGGGUCCGGUUCGGGUCUGGGUAGGGUCCGGAUCGGGUAUGGGAUAUCGGAUAUUUUGGACACCUUUAGGUGACAUAGGUUGAUGAUGGAUAAAGAAGCUGAUCAGGCAGGACCUCAUGAGUGUAGCUUUUCAGAGGGAUGGUGAAGGCUCUUCCGAGACCCAGAUCUGCAAUCUUCAAGAUACCCUUCUCUUUGUCAACCAAGAGAUUUUGAGGCUUCAGAUCCCUUUAAUCAUCAUAAAACAUCGCAUAUCUCAUCACUUCAAAGUUUCACGUUAUAGAGUAAGGUAACAAAUUCAUAAAAGCAAAAUCCGACCUGUGAAGCACGCCAUGUCCAUGGCAAUGGGCAACUCCUUUACACAACUGAUACAGGAAACUCUACAAUAACAAGAAUAAAACAUAACAUAAUUCUCACAUCAAGAAUCAAGAAUAAGAAAUGAAGUCCAGCAUAAUCUAAUGAACAACUAUUAAACAAAAUGAGUGAUCAGCAUAAGGAUAUCCUGUGCAGAUUUAUCUCUACAUGAAACUGUUUGUUAAUAACAAACCAAGUGGUCUUUUGACUUGUUGACUCCCCUUGAUCAAACUCAGAUAUCUCAUAUACCAUUGGCAAUACCAAACAUGACUGGAUAACAGGAAACAAAAUUAAUGAGUGAGCCUGAAGUCAACACGGCACGAACUCGCCUAACCGGAAUAUGAACACAAUAUACUAAGGCCUUCACAAUUAUUUUUUUAUUUCUUUUUCAAAAAUUCAAAAAUUAAGGUUACAAUACAAACAUGUAGACAUAGUUCUCAGGUUGAUCUGACGAAUCCGAAUAUUAAACAGGUUCACGGCCCACAAACCUGAAUCGCCACCCUGAUCUCAUUUAACAGCUACAUGAUUAGGAAAAAAUCCAACACUAGCCAAUUAUCAAUCAAGAUUUCAUUUUUCAAGCAGAACACACUCACAACACCCAAGAAACACAUAUAGAAGAAUACCUGAAUCACUUGCGGCGGAAGAGGCCUCGGAUUGGGGCCCCUCCUAUGCGAAUCAAUGAACUUCUUGAGAUCAGUGUCCAGAUACUCAAACACCAGAUAAAGCAGGGGCUUUCCGUUCUUCUCCGCAUGCUCCACAUUAAGCAAUCUACAGAACCAAAUCCACUGAAGAAGAAGCACAAAAUUUAGGGCAAAAAUUAGGGCAUGAAGGUGAUCGUCGGGUACCGGACGAUGUAGAUGCUCUGGGAGAGCAUCUGGAGGAGGGAGAUCUCGCGGAGCGCGGUGGGGGGGAUCCCUUCCUCGUCCAUCUCGAGGCGCGUCUUCUUGAGGGCGACGAGUUGCCCCGUCGCCUUGUCCUGGGCCUUGUACACCUUCCCGUACGUCCCUUCCCCGACCUUCUCGAGCUUCUCGUACUUCUCCAUCGCCGAGAAACCCUAGGUCGUUCUCGGAUUCGCGAAUCGUCGAAAACCCUAGAUCGGAGCGGAUAGUAGAGGAAGGAGUGAAACCCUAGCGCGUGAUCUGUUUGAGGUUGGGAAUGAGAGGGGACGCGAGUUUUUGAAAUGUGAAGGGAGGAGGGAAAAAGGAAUUAGUGGGCCGGGCCAUGUGGGGAGUGUAAUGGGCCGUGCGAGGCUAUAACGGUCGAAUUAUUUGAAAUUUGAAAUGUGUAGAUAGUUUAUCCAUUCUACUUACCUGGAAAGGACUUUUUGUGCAUAAUAAAAGUCGAUGACAAGAAAAAUUUUUUAAAAAAUUCUUGCUUUGAUAGGGUGUCAAAUUCGCCAACCGAAUCUGAAUUCGAAAAAUUAAUCGGAUUCAAACCUAGAAUUGUACGAUUUUGACCGUACAUCGGAUUUUAUACAACUGGUUUAAUUUUAUAUACGAUGACUCGUAAUGACAGAGUCUUAAAGCAUGUGAAAAUUAUGGCUUCUUUGUUUGGCUGAAGCUGCUGCUAAAAAGCAUUGUAGAAGACAAUCGAUUGAGAAAACAUUCAUUAAUAUUUUAUUAUAAGUUUUAAGUUGAUACCUAGUUUUGUAACUCAGAAGCAUCCAGUAUUUGUGAAAAAGAUCAAAUUUGAUUGUUCACUAUACAAUUUAUCCCAUUUCUAAGAGCAUAUACACUCCUUUCUCAUGUAACUUCAAUCUUAAGAAGCACAGUAUUUGUUAUCCCUUUUUUGUUUUUCUGCUCACCUUUUUUACUUGAAUCUAGCAAAUGCUACAUAAAAUUCCAUAAAAAAAAAAUGUAACUACUAAAGCGAAAAUGUAAAAAAUUUCAUUCUUCAAUGAAAGAACCAACUUUGCCGAGCUACUACAGAUUAGGGCAAUACUAAGAUGCAUUUCACUCCAUUAAGUCAAGCUUUUGAUAAGCUACUUCACCAAGUACAAAAAGGACUUCCUCUUAUUCAUGAAGCUCGGAAGCAUCAUCCAUUGGCAAGAAACGAAUUAACCAUAAAUACAAAUCAAAAUGAGUUUCAUACUCUUAAUCACGAUUUCAAACUGCGGAGCAUAAAAAGCACGGAGUAUUGUGCUGCGAGCAAUAGCGGUUGCUGUCAACACUUCGAGAGCGAAACUGAGCUAUCAAAAGCAGACCCCACAUGGCUUAUAACAAAACCGUAGAUCUUGCGCUUCAACUGCUCGACUCUUUCCUUCACCCUAUCUUCUCCUUGCACUCUCCCCACCCCAUCCAACCAUUCAUUGAUCCUCUUCAGCUGUGAAAGCACUGCUGCCACUCUACCAUUGUUAUCCUUUCCGUUACUCGAGCCAUCUCCGAACAAGCGGAAGCCCACGUCAAGCGCUUCUUCAACGAACUUCAAGAACCAGUUCUGCAUCUCAUGCCGAAGAGCCUUUGCGAGCUCGAGUGUUUCGCUCAUUCCUUGUCCUCUUCUCCACUUGUUGGCUAUUGAACUUGGUUGCCUCUUCGAAAGGCUUGUUCUCGGAGGAUCUACGGAGACAGCUUUUGGCUUUUCUAUAUCCUUUUGCUUGUGGAUGCAUUCAGUAACAUCAUUUAAUAGGCGGAGCGCUUCAAGAUCUGUAACUAACGCUGCCUCGACCCAAAGAGUGGCUGAUUUAGUACUCUCUAGAGAUGUUGUAUCAUUCGGUCCAUUGUUAAGAGACUCAGAAGUUGAGUUCAACUUCACAAUAUCUUCAUAGAUGGAGAGAAAGCGAUCGAUUGUCGGGAGCGGAUUGUUAGCUUUCGAUGUUGAACAAAGAUUGGAAAACAUGCUGCAAAUGAAAGUUGACAAGCAAACCAAAAAAAAAAAACCUAUUACUAACAACAAAGUUAUAGAGAGAUUGGUUGGAGUUAGAACCGAAUAAAAGGAAUUUGUACCUUAAAUUCCUGAUCACAGAUUCGGUGACCAAUGCCUCUUCCAACGCUUCCGCUGCAGCUACUGAUGCAAUGUCUCUCCUCAGGAAAGCAUCCUGUAAUUUAAAGUGAAAGAGGUUAGAAGGUAAAAUAGAUUGGUUAUAGGAUGAAUUUAUUUUAACAAAGCUCAUUUCAGAGAGAGUGAGGAUGCAAAAACAAUUCUAGAGAUGUCACAGAUUUAAUUAUUCCUGCAGAAUCUGAAGUUUGAACUAAGAUCUUCAAAGACUUAUUUGUUACAUGUGUAGGAAACCUUUUCUGAUAACAAACCAACUUUCGUGCGAAAUUGCAUGGGUUUUCAAUUAAUGGCUAUUUGGCAAGUUCUCGUGCGGGGAUAAAAACAAUUCAGAUAUUAGUUACUGCGAUUUAUGAGCAGCAAAAGAUGCAAUUUUCUGAGAAGAACAUCUACCUUUCCGAGCUUCGCGAGGUUACUAGACACACCGUCCAGUGGGAUGCUGCCAUCUGUCCACUUUCGCUCCUGAACUGUAACAUUUGCAGAUGCCAAGUUCUGCUUCUCUGAAGAGGUGGAUUCCAUCUUUUUACUCGAUUUUGUUUUCUCAUAUUUAGAAACCUCCGGUUCGACCUUCUUACUUGGUUUAGGCUUCUCAUUAGUGGAUGCUUCCUCAUUAUUUGAUUGUUCCCAACUAGCGUCGCUCAGUCGCCGUGACAUUGCAACCUAUCCAGAUAAAAAGAUGCAGAAAAUGAGUCAGCAUUUACAGAUAAAAAAAAAAGCGCGGAAAAAAAAAAAUACAAACUUAAGCAUUCACACAGAACACGAAGCACAAUAACUUUUUGUUUUUUAGCCUAGACCAGCUGUUUUAAUUGAAGAAAUCAAAACAACUUCAGUUUCAAAAAUUUAACAAAAUUCAGUUUGAGAUAGCUUUCUCAAUGAAAUAGAAGAAAAACCAAAAUGCCGUUUUAUCAGAGCCAUGAUUGAAUGCAAUUCGGUACCGCUUACAAAGCCGUGGUCCUAAGUCCACAUUUACCACUUCAUGGCAUAAAUUUAUAUUUGGCGCACGUGAUAUGAUUCACCAGAUCUCCAUCACCCAUAUAAAUUUAUAUUAAGAUUGAUCUUUCGGUAAAAAAAUAAACAGAAAUUAAAGUGAAGUAGUAACCUGGGUCCUCAAAAUGGCUUCUUUAUCCACUUUACUCUUGGACCCUCCCUUGUCCUUGAGCUCCGAAGAGACCGACGAAUCGUCCCAGCUCUUCCGCAUCGACUUCACCGACCCCAGGAGCGCGUCCGACACCUUCGAGAUCCCCGCGACCACCACCCCACCCUUCUUCUUCUCCCCCGUGGCCGGCGACAUCUUCAGCCCGCCCGACAGCCUCCUCGCGGGCGACAUCGACCCCCGCCUCCCCAUCGGCGAGCUCGCCGACUUCCGCCCUGCGGGGGACGGGUUCCGGUACCUCGACGGGACCACGAUCGCGGGCUCCCUCGCGGCCCUCCGGUUCUCCUCCUUCGCCGCGACCAGGCUCGGCACCACGCACUUGGACGGGGCCGGCGAGGAGGGCCGCGACCCCACCGACGGCGACGACGGCCGCGAGCUCUCGCCGUUGCUCUUCCUCGCCGCCAAUUUCGCCCCCGCCGGCGACGAGAAGCGCCGCUUCCCGUUGGGGGCUGCCGCCGCCGCAUUUUCCUUGUCGGAGAUCGAGUUGUCGGGUUCGAGGGGGAAAUUGGGGGAUUUGCGGGAGGAGGAGGAGGAGGGGAGGAGGGGGGGGCCGGCGUGGGCGGGGGAGGCGGGCUGGAUGACGAAGCCGCGGUGGGAGGGGGCGGAGCGGGCGACGAGGGGCUCGGGGGAGCCGGCGAAGGGGAGGGGGCGGGAGGCGGGGACGGGGCGGAGGCCGAGGGCGCGGGGGACGGGGGGGCGGUCGAAGCGGAGGCGGUCGACGUGGACGAGCUGGCCGAGCUGGGGGCGGGCGGAGAGGACGGCGUCGGCGUCGCGGUCGGAGAGCGCGACGUAGGUGGAGUGGAGCGAGUCCGACAGCUGCAGGUAGAAGCCGUGCGCCGGCCAGAGGUCGUCGGCCGUCGACGCCGACAGCGCCGGCACGAUGCCCGUCACCUGCAGCACCGCCGACCGGUGCUCGCCCGCCACCCGCGCCUCCGUGUCCAUCGACUGCAGCAGCUUCAGCAGCACCCCCGGCGUCACCGUCGCCAUCGUCCGUCCCCCCACCACCACCACCACCACCAACCAAACUGUAAAAAUAAGCUUUAAUUUAGACCCCACUACUACUCCUACGAGGGGAGAGGCUUUGAAUGAGCGAAUGAGCGAGUGUGAGUGGUACUACUACUACUACUACUACUACUACUACUGUAUUGUGUGAGAUCAUAGAGAGAGAUGUGGCCAUUUGGAUUGUCGGCGGGGGGGGGGGGGAGGAGAGAGCCGUUAGGAUGACGUUGGGGGAGGAUUUUGAAUUUGAAUUUCAAAUGAUGCCCGCGUGGUCGGGGUGUAAAAACAGGAGAGAGCUGGGGGGUAUUUUGGGAAUUGUGGAGCGUACUAUUCUCACGGGUGGCGGGUGCGACGGACUCGCGGUGGGGAGGGCCGUUACUCUGUUUUUUUUGUUCGAGAGGGCCGUGACAGUUGGCGAAGACUUAUUGGCUCACCUAUAGAUUUUACCAUCCAGUGAUUAUAAUUAGUUAGAAUUAUUAUGAACUAUUUUAAAUUAACUAUCAAUUUUCUAAAAAAAUUAAAAAUUAAAAUUUUAAUUUUUUAAAUUUAUUUGAUUUGAGUCAAUCAAUAAUAUUUUAACUUUCAAAUAUGAAUGUAUUAUUUUUUUUAAAAAAAUAGUUAAUAUAUUUUAUAUAAUUCUCGCAACUGUAAAUUUAUUAAAAUAAGACAUUAGUUUAACUUCUGAAGUUAAAAUACUGUUGACUGACUCAAAUCAAAUAAAUUAAAAUAUUGGAUAAUAAAAUUAAAAUUUUGAAAGAUUGACUAAUAAAUGUUUAUGUUUUUACCUUUAAUUAUUGUUAAAUGGCUCAACAAAAGAAUUUUUGUUUGUUUGUAAAUAUCGAUUUAAAUUUAAAAAAUUUUAUGCUUAUCAUUAUAAAUAUUGUAAUAUAUCUAUUUAAUAAUUUAUUUAUUUCCCAAAGAGCUUGAAUGGAAUCAAUAAAUCAAUAAUUUAUUUAUUUCUAGGAGUGCUAUGCGGGACUUGUUUUCACUGUAAGUUACCCCAGCAUUUUUAAUUAAAGCAUAUAUAUAAACUAUAUUUUAAAAAUCUUUGAACUUUUAAAUAAAUUUUGAAUGGCUUGGCAAGGUGCUCCCAAAUACGGUCCCAUGCACCGUGUGCGGUCCGUGUCGUGCCGUGCCGUGAGCUGCUUGGCUUAUUUUACACCUUUGGAACUUCCACAGAAACAUUGAUAGGCAUUGGCGUGUUCGUGGGCCCAACUUGAGAUCAACGAGCGUUGUCGCCUAUUUUAUUACUUUGAGCCUAGUUCGGCCCAAUCCAUUCAUUCGGAUUAAACCUUUUCGGGCUUGUCUUUGUUUACGAAUGUAAAAUUGCGUGGAGACAUCUGUUAUUCUGAAUUGGUCACUUAACUAUUCUUCUAUCAACUAAUGUCCUCUAGGGUUGAGUGGAUAGUUAGUUGAAUAGUAUGAUCUAACGGAUGAAAAUGAUCAAACGGAUAAAUCUAACGGUAGAAAAUUUGGUAGCACAAAGUACUUGGUAUUAUUAAUAGCAUUGUAGCUGAACUCAAGAGAAAGAGCUAGGCUAGAAUAUUAGUAAUAGCACCAAGUCAUUGGUCAUAUUAAGUUUCGGCUUUUUGAUGAAACGAUGCACAGUUAGGAUGAUAGUGGUUCUCUAGGGUUAAGUGGAUAGUUGGUUGAAUAGUAUAAUCUAACGGAUAAAAAAAUGAUUAAAAGGAUAGAUCUAACGGCAAAAAAUUUAGUAGCACCAAGUGCUUAGUACUAUCGAUAACAUUAUAGCCGGACUCUAUGUGUGUGUGCGUGCGCGCAUUCCAUUGCUACCAACAAUUAAUAGUUAGCAAAAUUCAGACUCCAAGUGGUAUUAAUGGUGUUUAGAAUAAUUAGAUUUAACUAAAUCACAACUAUGUUUAAGAUCAUCUCUAAUUUGAUCAAUGAAAAUAACUGAAAAUAAAUAAAUCAAAAGUUAAAGGAUUUGAAUGAAGCCCAAUGCAAUGUUAACUUAGUAUCUAAUUUGCCAUGCUUUCAUGCAUUGGCAUGUGACAUAGAUCAAGUGAAAAGAGCUUUGAACUAAAGAUUACUCUUUUAUGAACAAAUCCAUCAUAAUUUUCAUUAAUGAGUUCACAGACUCUAGUUGUUUCGCGUUCAUUGAUCUACGUAGGCGACUACUACAGUACAAUUUUAUAAAAAUUUGAGUAAUCUAAAACUUUUACUGAAAAAAAUUUAUUUCUUGUCGUACCAAUAAAGAACAAAAAAAAGAGCUUACUUGAUGUGUAAUUUUUGCCGGCACAUAAAUAUUUGGUGUUUUUUUUUUAGAGAAAGGUAGACUUGCUACGUGCUUCAGUCAUAAUAAAUAUGAACUGAGUUACAGAAAUAAGACAACUGGCCCCGAGAAUCAUAAAAGUUCCAAACAAGAGUUGACUAAAAAAAAAAUCAAUUACAUGCUAAGGUAACUUAUGACAGUCUACUAGAAAAUUCUUCCAUUACUUCGCUAGCAAUUUGGCCUUAUUGACUGCCGCCAACGGCUCAGUGUUGAUCCCUCUGAAAAUAAAAUUAUUCCUUUGUGUCCAUAUAACCCACCAGCAAACUACAAAUAAACGUGUUCUCGUCAUCUUUUUCCUGUUACAGUCUUUCCGAGUCGCCCUUUUUCAAACUUUACGAACAUCUUCACUGAGGGUACACCCUAAAUCCCCUUCGCCAAUCAUCACCGUAAGCAUAAAAUAUCUACUGAAAAUACAACCUGUGAAGAUGUGAUCUAUCGUCUCUAAAGAGGAUCUACAGAACACACAAGAUAGGUUCUACGUCCAAUCUUUCUUGGAUAAAUAUUUGAUGUUGAUGUCGUGCAAGUGUAAAACCAACAAAAGUUUCCUUUACGUUCGAAGUAGUAAGAACUUUUUCCCCUUUCUCCGGGGCACUGAGGCAACACAUGAAGGAGACUCUUAUAUAUUCAAAUUAGAGUGAGAAAUUCAACCAUUAAUGUGUGGUGUUUUUCCUUGACUGAGUUCUAUGAAUUGAAACAGUGAGAAACUUGACCAUUGAGCAGUGCUUUUUUUUCCUUGAUUGAGUCCGUAGGUGUUGCUUUCGAUUUAAUUCAUUUCCGAUAUGUAGAAUUUAGGAGUACCAAAUCAAGAGAAAUUUGACACGCAUAGGUUGUUCAGAAUGAAGAUGGCAAUGUAAAAUGAAAAACAUGGAACACGAGUUAUCUACCGAUAAUAUUACUCUACAUGGCAAACAUAGUCAACAUAGUAAUUGCAAGAAAUUCUCUACUUGCUGAGACAGCUUAAUCAAUGAAUGGUGUCUUAUUCAUUUACCUUGUAGAAUGCCUCAAGGGAGAAGAAUCUAGCAACCAAAAGUCAUUAGCUUGACAAGAAAGUAGGAAUGAGAUUUUGUUUACAUUCUAAUGCACAAUUUCAUGCAAAAUGCUUAGAGAUACUCUUGAUAGUUUUCAAGGUAAAAGGAGUAAGAAUUGAAUACGAAUGCUAAAAUCACAAUUCCCUAACAGCUAAAACUUUGAGAGAAAGCAGUUAUUUUAUGUAAAUUUUAUAUACUAUCAGAACAAGAAAUCCUAAGUGGAAAUCCGGCCGGAUCCUUAGUUUUAUUUAAUUUUCUUCCAUAUAAUUUCAGUCCACGUCUUGAACUUUUCAAAACAUCUGAAGGCUAGAUGUAACAGCUAUCAGGCCAUUGGGCUUAUUUAAUUUCUUUUUUCUAUUUAAUUCAAGUCUGAAACAACAAAAUUUUAUGAAACAAGUAAAAUAUUUUUUUAUUAUAAAUAAAAUAUUCUAGUUGUAAUUCCAACCAGAGCUACAAGAAGGUUAGUAAAAAAAAAAAAAAAAAAAAAANUAUUAAGCGCUUGAUGCUACCGAGUUUUUCACCAUUAAAUCUACACCUUUAAUCAUUUUCAUCCAUUAGAUCAUGUUAUUCAACAAACCAUUCGCUCAACCCUAGAAGACUAUUAUCACCUUGAUUGCAUAUCCUUUAAUACAAGGGUCAAAAAUCUAAUAGUAUCAAUAACUUUGUGCUAUUAAUAGUAUUCUACUCUAAUUCAAUAUAUAAUUUAUCAGGUUAAAUGCAUACAGAUACCUGUAAACAUAGUGAUUUGCAAAUAUAUCUUUACAAAGUUCAAUUUUCAUAUAUUAUUCCUGUAAAAAUUCUAAUGUUUUCAAAUAUAUUUUUCUAGUUUGUUACUGUUAGAGAACUAUUUAUAUUUUCAAUUUUGUCAUCACAAAUAUGUCGCUCCAAAAGACACAACAAUAUAAUAUAAGAUGGAUAAAAAUAUCAAGUUAUGUAAUAAACUAACAAGGUUAAGUAUUUAAUAUAUAGUUAAGUAAAUUUUUCUAACGAAUUCUAAUAACAUGAAUUUAUUUAAAAAUAUUAAAAUUUUUACAGAAAUAAUAUAUAAAAAUUUAAUUUUAUCGACAUAUAUUUAUAAAUUAAUAUAUUUGUAGGAACCUAUACACAACUAACCCACAGAUCACCAAAAAAGAUAUUAUUAUGCUAAUAAAUAAUAAAGUGUUGUACAUAGUAGUACUAUGGUGGUCAAGCGUGACAGAUUUUGUUGUUUCCAUUUAAGCCGUUGCAUGCGUAGGAGCCACACACCUGGAGCAAAACAGUUGGUCGACGCCUCAUCACGAAGACUCCUGCGUUCUCCUCCCACAAGAAAAUUAAUUUAAGCAUUCGGUAGUCGGUAGAAGUAGUUAUUUUAAUCACUUAACUCCGCGUGAGAAAAAAAAAAAAAAAAAAAGAGAGUCUCGAGAAGCACUUUUUUCUGCUGUACGGUCAAGCAGAAUUUUUUUUUUUUUUAAAAAAAAUUCUCCACAAGAAGCCAAAAUCAUCCUCACAAGUCGACAUGGCUUAUUUGGACAGUGUGCCGACGAGCAUAGACUGCCGGUGUUGAUCUUGAAAAGGAAAAAAAAAUAUUUCUAAAAUAUCUUCAAUUUUAUCCAAAUUAUAUUUUCAUAAAUAAAAUUAGAUUGGAAUGCUUAGUAAAAGAUUAUUUUUACUAUCAAAUUUCUAACCUUGGGUGAAAAAUUAUAGACUUAGAAUGAUAUUAGUCCCUUAUGAUUGAAUGAUCUUCUAGAAUUGAGUGGUCCCCACUUGGUUAUAAUAUUUAAUUUAGAAAUGAUGAAAAGAGUUGAUCCAAGGCCUAAAAAUUUGAUAGCAAAAAAGAUCUUUUGCUAUCAAUAGUAUUAUAACACAAUUUUUCAUAAAUAUGUAUUCUCGUUAAACAAAAGAUCUAUAAUUGUUAUUCGGGUUGCCGUCGUUGACAUAAAUCAUGUACCAGUCUUUUUAGGUGUCAGAAACGAGUAUUGUGAUGAUAACUCGAUGAAAAUAGAGAUAGUGUGAUGAAUUGCAAUCUAAUCAUUAUUGAGAUUUUAGCGGCGAUUUAAUGUGUACCCUUCAAUAUUUAAUCUAUAUUUUGGGUGAAAUAUUACUAAUAUAUGGAUAGUUUUGAUCAUUUUAUUAAAUUUGAGGAGUUUUUUUAUUUUUUUUAAUCUUGAUUACUUCUGGAGAAUUUCUAUAUAAUUAGGGGUGGGCUUAUAGAAUUAAUCCUAAAUUAUAUCGUGGAAUAAUUUAGAUUAUUCUUGAAAACUUAAAUUAACCCUAAAUUAUAUGUAAUUAGAAUCUUCUGAUCUUUCUCUAACUUAAUAUCAAAUGGAUUUACUCUUUUUUUUAUUUUUUCACCUUUCACUUUCUUAAAGCAUAAAAGUAAAAUCUAUAGAAUCAGAUCUGGAGAUUAAAAAAAAAUAACAACAGAAAAAAAAAAAAAAAGAAAGAAGAAGAAGCAAUUCCAUCUACAUUUAUUUCGAUUUGGCUAUGCAUUUAUACCUGAGCUACCUUUUGUCAUGUAAACCUAUUAUUGUAAUUAACUUAUCGACAUUAUUUUCACUCCUACAUAAAACAUAUUUUCGACGUUAAAAAAAGCCAUUUUUGGAACUAAUAAAACCGAUGUUUCUAAACAUGAUUAGGUAUGAUGAUCGCCAAUAAAACUCGUUAAUCAAAUAAUCGUCUUCGAUUGUCAGAUUUACCCUCAUCAAGUAUUUGAAAACCGUCUAAACAAUUUGAAAUGUUAGACAGAUCUCAGUGAACGAAGUUCUAUUCUUGAAAUGCAAUGAAAAAAGUUGCGAUAGAAUAUUUUACUUUAUGUACUUAUAAAUUUUUUUUUAUUCUGCAUUAAUUGAUUUUCAGCAAAAAAAGCCUCUCCAUCUAUUCAACUUUUUUUGUUUUAGAGAUAGGUAGCACGCUAUCCGUUUCGUUUAUUCAUUUAGAAAUAAACUUAACUAGAAAUGUGAAUCAAUUAGAAUUCAAAUUUAGAUCUCAGAUACCAACCAUCAAACCCUCUCUAUCGAUUCAACUGUUUAUUCGUGAGUUGUAAUUUCUCCCUGCAGAGAUAUUUCGGUACUGAAGCCAACUUUAUCGUUAACGCGUGUAUGUACUUACAUCAAUCAAUUUCGUGUAUUUGAUCCGCAAUCCAGUUGACGAGGUUCAUUGGAAUUUUUAAGGCUGUGGUAUCUUACGCGAACUUCUCUACGAGGACGAGUCCACAGAAGGGAAAGGAGAAUUUUGUAGCAUGUAAAACAAUUUAGAUUCAAAAGAAAAAUCAAAAUUCGUUUCACUAACUAGCAAAUGAAGAUACACUCGCCACCCCUCCUCUCCAACUGCUAUUGCAUAAAGCAUCAUUAAAUACAGAUAUAUAUAUGUACACGAAAAUUAUAUAACUUGGCGCAAGGUUUAUGAGAGAGUUUUUUUUUUUUUUUUUGAAAAAAAAAAGGAAACGGAAAACGAAAACCCCGCACCAAAAAAAAGGGCCCCAAAAUCAAACAAAGCUCUUAAAAUUUGCCAUUUCCGAAAUUCCGAAGGGCGCAAAAGCGCUUUUGGGCCAAGCCGAAGACUAAAAAGGAAGCGCGUUUAGGAGGACCAGCUCCUGAUGAGGGAGGGGCGGGGGCCGAACAUCUGGUCGAGGACGAUGACGAUCGCCAUGGCGAGCGACGCGUCGAGCUCCGGCUGGACGACGAAGCGGAACACGUCGGCGCCGAACGCGGCGCCGCCGUUCGCCGCCGCCUCCUUCCGCCGCACCUCCGCCACCGCCGCCCUCCGCCGCGCGUCGUACACCACGCAGCUCCGCCGCGCGUACGAUCCCUCAAUCUCGAACGCCGCGUCGCCGCCGCCGCCGCCGCCGAAGGGGGUGACGUGCGCUAGGGCUUUGGAGUGGCGGAGGUUCAUGUGCCGCUUCACGGAGUAGAGGGGGCGAAUCGUCUCCUCCCCGUCGUAGAUCACCCAGUGAUCCCCCAAACUCAGCCUCUGCAUCGCAAAAUCCACAGGGAUCGGGUUAGGUUCCGGCGAUCGCCGAGAGCCGAAUCCGCCGCGAAAUGCGGCAGAUCUAACGCUUUAAGCCGAUCGAGAGAUCGGGGGAUCGGAUCGCUUACCUUUCGCCGGAUCGUGAGCAGGGCCUUCCCCGCGGCGUCCAUGAGCACGACCUCCCCCUUGGCGCCCGAUCCGUAGUUGUCGACUCGGUACACGAGGUUCCCCUUCGCGUCGAACACCGUGAACCCGCUGCAGUUGAAGAGGAGCGACUUCGUCCACACCGUGAGCGCCGCCGCCUCCUCCCGCCGCCCCUCCCCGCCGCCGCAGCACGCGGCGGAGCUCGUAGAGAGAUCGAGCGCCGGGGACGCCGCGUUGGGGUACACCUUCGUCAUCGACCUCAACAAUGGUGCGAAUCCGCAAACUCUACUACAGAGGAAGAGGAAGAGGAAGAAGAAGAGGAGGAGAUCGAAGAAGCGCUUCUUCUCACCACACCGCCUUGUUCAACUGAUUAAGAGUUCUACGCCACGGUGCUUCAUAUAUACCCGUCGCAUGGACGAAAAUACCCCUGGAAAGUCCCACAAUCCCCGCUGAGCCUCUCACGUGCGAGGCGUGGCGGUGGUGACGUGGCCACUGGCCACGGGGUUAAGAAUUCCCGGCUUCGGAAGGUAAUUAAUUAGUUCAGAUUUAAUUAACCGCUAUAAUAAUUAUUAAUAAUAUCGUCGGAUUAUAUUAUAUUUAAGAUUAAACACUUAAUUUUUUAUUUCCGGGGUGAGAAUCGUGAGGGACACGUGGCGGCGGGAAAGUGACGCGAAGGGUUUAAAAAAAUGGGAGCGAGAUAAGCGUCGGGUCCCUUGGGCGGUUGGGUGGGGUUUUCGCAUCAUAAUUGUGCUUCUCUUGGAGCCACUCGCGUAGAAGAAUAAUGGGAUUAAAAUUAAUAAAUUAAGGUUGUGCGGAACAUAGAAAUUAAUUAUAUAAUAAUAUAACAGAGUGGACUAUGUCCCCAAUACCAAAUGUUUAUUUUACUUGCUCUUAAGUAUUAUUUUAAAGUAGAUUUAAAGGCAAGUUUUAUUUGCCACAAACAAUAGGGAUUAAAGUUCGGAGACGGGUAGUGUCAAAAACUUAUUCGCAUGGCAUGACACAGUAUGGUAUAUGCGUGUCUUAUCGUGCUAAUAUACAUCGAUUAUAAUGAUAUUUUUGUACUGAUAUAUUAUGACAUAAAACGUAUAAAUUUUAUAAUCUCAAUAUAUUUUAAUUAUUUAUUAUAUUAUUUUUAUUAAAUUUUUUAUAUUUUAUUACAAUAAAUAUUUACUAAUGAAAAAGAAAGUGAAUGUUGAGGUGUCCCUCUGGCACGAGAGUUGUAUAGUGCCAAUAUUCUAUUGGCAAAAUACGACACAUCAUACAUGGACAAAUCAUAAGUUAAUUGUAUAUAAAAGAUAGAUAAGAUUGAUUUGCAAAUGAAUUAGAAGUUUUAUUCUAUUUGUAUGUAAAAUUAAAAUAUGUGAAGUGUUACGCAAUCAACUUUGAUUGCUUUAUGAUUUGACCCACAUAGUGUGGCGGUUACAUAGAUUUAGUCAGUAAUAUAUUAAUAUUCCAAUUUGAUUUGUAUUGUGAUUAUAAAAUUACUAAUUUCGUAGAGUUAUUAUUCGAAGAAAUCCCAAAAAAAAAUUCAUAGUAAAAACCCUUCUAUAUAUAUUUCUUUCACUUAAAUGAGACUAAAAUUUUUUAAAUAAUCGAUCGUAGUUUAAUAUUCAGAAGUUUAUUUUAGUUUUUAUGGCACGUCAUUUUCUUCUUGCCUAAGAACCUAUUUUAGAAGUCAUGCCAAAUAGGGUGUUAGGUUCUAAUUGCUAAAAGAGGUAAUCACUUGUUUAACUACUUAAUGACUCGUCAAACAUAGUUAAUAAAUUAAUGUAACCGCAGAUUUAACAGGUUAUUAUAUAUUGUCAAUCAUGGUUUAUUUUUAACACUAGGGUUGUAAAAUUUUCUCCUUGACUAUUCCUAACGUUUUAUCUAAUAUCUUAUUUUUAGAAAUCUCUGCCAUUUUUAUAUUGUUAACGCUAACAAUAUUUGUCACGUCAUUAUCAAAUUUUGUCAUAUGAUAAACUAGAUAAAAUUAGAACUCUAUGGUACAAUUAAACUUAUAAUAUUUUAAGGGUUAAUUGCAUAUUGUUCUCUGUAAAUAUAUGCGAAUAGCAGAUAUAUCUCUAAAAAGGUUCAACUUUUUAUAUUUAUUUCUAUAAAAGUCUUAAUAUUUUCAAAUAUAUUCCUCCUGAUAGGAUUUGUUAGAAAAUAUAAAAAAUUAACUAUAGGUAAAAUACUUAACCCUGAUUAAUUAGUGAAUGAGAUUUAAUUGAUCUUUUUAUCUCUCUUAUAUUAUUUUGAUGGUAGAAAAAAAGAAGAUGGCCGUUGAAAAUUUUUUGAAGAAUAUUUCUUCAUAAUUUUAACAGUUGGGACUUUUAGAGAGACAUAUUUAUGAUGACGAAAAUGUCAUUUCACUUAUCAUCUGUAAAAAAAUAAAUCGUACUUUAAUGAUAUGAUAAUUAUUGGACUUUUGUAGGGACAAAUAUGAAAAAUUAAACUUUAAAGGAAUAUAUUUGUUAAUCAAUAUGCUUACAGCGAGUUGUAUGAAAUUAAUCUUAUACUAUUUUAAUAUAGUUUAGUGAAAAAGUGCAUCAAUAGUCGUGCAUGCACGCACCCCACAUAUAUUACUGUGGUCAAAUUAUGACACAUGGAAUAGUUUCACUAGAUUAGCAACUUUUGAGUUAAUCUUUUGCUGUGGUACUUUUAUAGGGAUUAAUUUUAAUUUCUAAUUUUUAAUAAUACAAGUGAUCCGAGUUCAACAAAAGUGUAACGUUGAGGCCCUUUGUGUUGGUCGGCUUGCCAUGAUCAAAAGGAAUCAUAAUGUCCACAUCUUCAUCAUUUUAUCAUCCACUCACAAUCUCUCUUUUUAAAUGAAACUUAACCAGUUGAUUAUUAAUACUUCAUCAUGUUAAACAUGAAUUAAGCUCAAUGCAACAACAAUAAAAGGUUGAAAUUAAGUAAAGAUUAACCUUGUAUCCCCUUAAUUUGUUAGGUAUUUUGGAUCGGUUGCACAUUGCGGGUCAACCCAAAUCUGAACUCGGACCAAUAGUGGAUCUGAUUUGUUCAAAUCCGGUAAAAAUCCAAUAUGAAAAAGAAGUGGCAAAGGCAUGAUUCUAAGGAAUAGGAAUGGUUGUGCUAUGAUAGUACUACGAUUUUAUGUACCGUCGGCUGUUAAAAGAUGAUGACCGUAUUUGAUUUAGUCAGAGCUUUCGUUCUCAGAAAUAGCUUUUUGCGCAGUUGUGCGUCUAAAGCACAAACACAACUAUAAGGCUGGAUUGGCGCGAUAUAUCUUUUCUCUCUCUCUCUCUCUCUCUCUCUCUCUUUUUUCUUUCUGCAAUACAUCAAUUUCACGUUGUCCAUUCUCUAUGAACUCUUUUCGAUGACUCGGCACGAAUGAGAGGCUCUUUAGCGGCGGAUCCAAGACAGUCCCUCUAGUGUGAUCUCCUUUUCAAAAUUUUCUUUUUGAUUAGAUGGAUUUUAUCUUCUUCUGAGAUUUGAGGAAUAGGGUAAGAGGUUUGGUCCAAUUCCCAUACAUUGGGCAUGUAUUUAACACCCUUGGAUAAUGAUUCGCUUUAUUUGUUAAAUAUAAUGAACUUACAUGUUAUUUUUUUGGCAUCUUAAAUUUUUUGGAGAAAUUGGUAGUUUCGUGAUAAAAAAAAAAAAAACCAUAGAUUUUUAAUUGGCACUUAAAUAGUUAUAUCACAUAUAUAACUAUUCAAUCGAGGUAACGAUUUUUUUUUUUGGGGGGAAAGAAAAACUCUGUGAAAAGAUAUUGCUACAUCUAAAUUAUAAUUAUUUUUUCGACAUUUCAUUGGAGCAAAAAGCUCCUGAUAAGAUUAGGCAACUGCAUUUUUUUUUGUGCCCAUCAUUUUCAUGAGUAGGGGUUCAAAAAGAGGCACGUUGACUGUGGGGGCUCACUACUCAUAUAUGCUAAUAAUAAAGGUGUACAUAGCAUGUUAACAUGAUCUUAUCACAAAGUAAUCUUCAAUUUGGCCAAGCAACCCACGCUGUGCCGUUCCUGCCCUUUUCCACACACAAACACACAAAAAAAAAAAAGAAAAAAAAAAGAAAGCUAUUCUUAUCUGCACGCAUCCCAUGCAAAAAAUGGGACGAAACUUAAAUUGUGAGCUUUUCCAGCAAUUUCGUAUUAAAUUAUAUGAAACAAUCGUUGUGAAAUAUGUUCAACAUUCAUGCCUAAGGUAGAAACACUUUAGUAGGUCCAAGACGUGGACUUAAAUUGAGUGAAAGAAAAUCAAUACUGUUAUGACCCAGCAUAUACCUUCUACUCUGAUAUUAUGUUUAAUUAUAUAAAAUAACCGUUAGUUUCUAAAUACUUAUGCCGUUAAAGAACGGUAUUUUAAUAUUUUUAUAUUCAACACUCUAUUGUUGUCAUCUAUCUAAUCAGCAUGUAUCUCAAAUAAACAACUAACAGGAUUCGGUAAGAAAACUCAAUUCGCUUUAUUAAUUGUGAAUUCAUUAUUUAAAGAGAAAUGCUAAGUCUACAAUCUGUAUCUUUGUUUUCGGUCUAGUUUUUUCGGCUUUGCCUUAGAGCCUGAUGCUUGUCGAUAGGACAUGUUAAAAAUAUAGUUCAAUAUUGAUAGCUAGAAAUAAGAAUGUUGUUUACAUAUACUGUUGAAAUUUUUUUCACCUCUAUAUAUAUAUUAGAGGAAGUUUUUGAGUUAGUAAGGACCUUGAAGCAACAUUACAAGACUAUUUAGAUGCAUAUUAGCUGAAAUUGUGCUGCAGUUUUAACUGCAUGUAGGACCGAUAAGGUACGUGAUUUGUUUCCUUUGGAUCUUACUGUUGUCGUUGAAACUACACUAAAAGACUCAUAUGCAGUAAUUGAAAUAAUGCCUAAAUUGGCCAGAAUUCAAACUACAGCAAUUAGAGAUAAACUUAUCUACCUAUUCACUUUUAAUAUAUAUAUAUAGAGAGAGAGAGAGAGAGUGAGAGAGAGAGGGGGGAGAGAGAGAGAUAGAGAGAGAGUAGGGCUACUAUACUCUAAUGAGUAUAAAGCCUUUUAUACUCAUGAGUUGUUUUCGAUAAUGGAGCUUCCGAAUCGACAAUCCACUCCGUUAAAUAUAAUUUAGAGUAUUUGAAACUUCUAAAAAAUAAAUUUUAUAAUUUUUCAAAAUCAUAAUAAAAUCUAUCAAGCAGGCCUAAAAUGAACGGUCAAAAUUGAACUACGUCCUAAAAAUAGAUGAUCGGAUCCUUCAAUUUUGAGAUCGGAGUUAUUAAUCAUUAUCUAGGUAGUGAAUAUAAUUUUCGAUAAAAAAUUCAACAUAUUUCAAUUCUUUUACACCGUUAAACUAGUAAGUAUUCUAUAUCGGCUAUUAAAAAUUAUCAAUUUUGUGACUUUUUUAUCGUAAGAUAAAUAAUGUCGAAAAAUUAUAAAAUUUGAUUUCUAGAUAUUUUAAAUAUUUUAGAUAAUGUUUAACGGUAUAGAUCAUCGAUUUGGAAGCUCUAUCAUCGAAAACGACUUAUGAGUACGAGGGCUAUCGUAUUCAUAAGAAUAUAAUAGCUGAAUUCUCUCUCUCUCUCUCUCUCUCUCUCUCUCUCUCUCUCUCUCUCUCUCUCUAUAUAUAUAUAUAUAUAUAUAUAUAUAUAUAUAUAUUUCAAUAUUACGGGUAAUCUCAUCAUACCAUAUAUAGAGUGAUUAAAUUUAUAGAUAUUAUUGUCAAUUGCAUGUAUCUCGAACUAAAAUUUCUUUAGUUGUACUGUAUUUAUAAAUACAUCGAACGAACCAGCUGCCGCGGAGAGGCACUUUUCACCCUUUAUUCUUUGUGCUUUUUCUUCAGUUGAGAACUACAUAUAUAAAACUAAGACAGUGAAUGAUUGGGACAUAAAGCAUAUCUGAGACGGCACCCAAGAAUCAAAUUCAGGUAAACAUGCCCCUCAAUAUUGUGCGCGGCCAAAGCUGCAGCAAUCUUCUACAGUUGUUUCAAUUAUACACCCUCAAUGUUUCCUCAAUUUAGUUUUCUAUGCAUUGAUUUUUUUUUUUGGGGAAAUUUUAUUAAUGCAUUAAUUUACAAUGUAAUUAGAUCUUUUGAGUCUCAAUCACUGCCACAAUGUUUGGUCAAAAAGUAACACUACAACAAAUCUUAUACUUAAUGAUAUUUUAAGCAAUAAUUAGCGACGUUUAAAGUGUCGGCAAAAAUAAUUCCGACGCUUGUAAAAACAUCGAGUAAAGAAUCGUUAAAUAAACAUAUCGGGAUAAAUAUACUGACACUUUAAUUAAUAUAGCGUCAAAAAAUUUUAAUCAAAUAUUUAAUAAAAAUAUAUUUAUUAGCGACACUUAAUUAUAGUGUCGACACAUGCCAAAUAUUGAAGACACUAGAAUAAAGCAUUGCAUAAAAAGCGUCGUCUAAAGCAUAUUUUAUUAUAGUGUAAGUUUCCUAAAAAGCGUUAAGUUUAUGUAUUAUUCCUGUUUAUUUUUAUUUACAUACAUAUUUAUUCUUCUAGUAAAGUUAAGAGCUUAUAUGUUUAUCCAUUAGUGUUAUUUAUUAUUAUGAAAAUGAUUGAUUUGAAGAAUAAUUUGAUACAAGAUGGUGUAAAUAUUCAUGUUAAGAUCAGGCGAAUCACAACACAACAUGUACACCAAUAGAAAAACUAACGAAAAAGACAAUAAAAAGGCUCCUCGCCUUCCAAUAAUUGACUUUGAUAUCAUAUAUAACUAAGAAUUGAUCUUAUGAAAAAAUAAUUUAGAAAUAUUCUUCUUCUUUUUCUUUUUUUUUUUUGUGAGAGAUAGGUAGCACGUUACCCGUUUCGUUUAUUUCAUUUAAAAAUAAACUUAGCUGGAAAUGUGAAUCAACUAGGAUUCGAACUUGAGACCUCAGUUACCAACCAUUAAGCCCUUUGCCACUCAUGAAGUGACUAGUUCCUAAUUUCUUUUUUUUUUCCCUUUUCUUUUUGUUUCCUUUUUCGACAGUAAGGAGACUAAUUCAAAUUAUUUAAAAAACAGGUGACUUGCCCAACCCACUAAAUUCUUUUCAAUUUCUUAAUUAUUUUCUGGGUAUCAUGCCAUUAUUAAAUGGUGACUUAUUAAAUAUAAAAAUAUGAAAUCAUCGUUCUCUAGCUAUUAUUUUAAGCUUUUGGAGAAUUACAAUUGUUUCAUUUUCUUUAACAUGGCUAACUAACCGGUUCAUAUAUAAAACCUUUAAAUUUUUUUAAGUUAAAAUAUUUGCAGGCCCCCUCAUCUAGGUAAAUGCGAAAUUAAUUGUUUUGAGAUUUUAUGCUUAGUUAUGUUAAAGUUUUAUUAAAUUUAGUUACUCUAUUGAUUGUUAACCAUCACUUAGUCUAACUCUGUUUACUAAAAAAUGAUUAAAGCUAUCAAAUUUGGUAAAUUAACUAAUAGAUAAAAUUUCAAAUUUUACGAGUAAAUACUUAAUUCUACAAAAAUCAAAAGUUAAGAAAGACUUAGUUUCAAAAAAAAAAAAAAAAAAAGUUGCAGCGGCUAUUUCAAAAUGCUAUAGUAUUUUCGAAAAAUUUUCUUUAUACAUCCCAAAAGUGGGUGAGAUCUUAUACCCUCAAAUCCUAAAGUUCUUAAUAAUUUAAAUAACUUUUAGUAAAAAUAAAAAAAAAUGAUGUGAUAAGUAGUGAAUGAUAGCUUUUGAAUGAAGAUGAUAUUGUAACACAUGCACUCCCACUUUCAAAUGUACCAAUUACAUUGGUUAAUUUUUUUCAGAUUAAAUAAACAUUGAUAUAUAGGACAUUAGCUAGUGUACCUCUGAGUUGGUUUCUGUAAAAAAUGAAUAAAAUUAUUAUUUUAGAGAAAAUAAAAAGAAAAUAAAAAAUUCAAUAUGCUUAGCAAUCAAAAGACAAAGAAGACUCAGCAGUUGCAUCAACUUGUACUAUCUGAAUAUAUUCAUAUACAUCCCAUCAUGCUUUCCUACUAUACUAAGAUACUAUUUUUGUACUUGGAUUAGAUAGAAGUAAGCAUAUAUAAUAUGUAGUUUUUUUUUUUAAAAAAAAAAUACCAAUCACAAUAUAUUGUUAAAUUAGGAGAUCCCCUCAACUAUAGUCCAUCUUGAACAAGCCAUUAAACCUUAUUUUUUUAAUUGAUGUUAAAAAUAACACUCUCACAUUAGAUUGAUACUGAAUCUUAGUACUUAUAUAAUAUUUUGAUUUAUCUGUUUAUACUUUUGAAUUGUCUCGUAUCUUUUAAUACGGUACUAGAGUUUGAUUCACGCUUCCUUAAUUUAUUUCUGAUUGACUCAGUGAUUGUAGUGUGUUAGAGUAUUUGUACUCUCCAAUUGAUUUAUAAUAACUCAAAUCAAAAUAAAUAAAAUUUGAGAAUGUGUCAAUUGAAACAAAAAAGAAAAAUUAAGUUUAUGGAAUUAUUAAAGUUGACAACGAAUGAAAUGAAUUAUUGGAAUAAAGUUAUAUAUUCUCAAUUAUUUUUUUUAGAUUGGAUAAUUGUAAAAAAAAAAUUAAUUUUUGAGUGCUCAAUGACAUUGAAACGUUGACUCUUUUAUGUAAAAAAAUAAUAGAAGAUAAUGUUGCUAGAGAUGUUUCAACUGUAUUGGGAAGCUCCACCAACUGUUGCGUGGGGAAGCUUUUUCAAAAAGCACUUAUUAAUUGAUAUAUUGAGAAUAUAUAUAUUAGAUUCCCCAAUCACUUUGGUUAUUCCUAGACACUUGGAAUCCAUAGAUUAAAAAAGGAUAAUAGCAAGAAUAUUUUUCUUUUUUAUAUAAAUGGUCGCAUUAUUUUGUUAGUGAAUAAACGUAUAAAAAGAUAAAGUAGAUGAGCCGAAUCACCGAGGACCUUUGAUGAAGGCGUGGAUCGACAUCUGAUUCGCCAAGCCAAUUCAGCUUGUCAAAUCAGUAAAUUUAGAUUUUUCCGAAAUAGAUUCUAUCUGCAGAAAUUGUGGUGAGAGAACUUCAUUUUCAUUAUAGAGUUUUUCUUUUCUUUUGUUCUUUUUUUCACUUUUUUUUUUCCCUUUUCAUUAUAGAGUUUGUUUAUUGAUUAGUAGUUUUAAUAUUGGCGAGACUCAAAAAUCAAAAAAUUUAAUAAAGGGUUCACGAUCCAAAUAGCAAUAUAUGGAGUAAUAACACAUGAAUUUCUCAUUUUACCUAUCUAAGCAUACCGAAACCAAUCUGGCAUCUCUUUGUGAAACUUAUGAUUCAUGAAAAUUUUCUGAAAAUAACUAGUUACUGUAACAAUGAUAUAAUUAUUGAGAAUAUUAGUCGUAUACACGGCAUGAAUUAGAAUUUUGAUUGCAUAUAAUGUUCAGGAAUGUUUUCGUCAGUUAUCUAAGAUUUUGGUUUGCAAUCGAAACAUUUUAAACUGUAUUAGAAUUUGGUUCAUAUGUCAACCUCCUUACAGCCAUUUCUAUUCAUCCUCAUUUUAAUUUGGUUUCCUUCAAUUUUGCUUCAAUUAUUUUAAUCCCAUUUUACCUAAUUAUUAGAUGAUUGUACUAGACAUUAAAUUGCUUUUAUAUCUAUCAGCUUAAGUUUCUAGAUUAGAUUCGAAGAAUCUUUAGCAAUAAUGAGUUUAAGCAACCAAACAAAUAAAAACUUAACUAAUGACAUAGAUAAUAAAAACCAAAAUUUGAAAACUAGCAAUUAUAAUAAUUAAUUAAAAAUCUUGAUUCAAUUCAACCCAAAGAAAAGGGUAUUGGUUUCACACUUUCUCACUUCAGUACCCUGUAGUUUAAAAUGUAUCAAGUUAAUGUCACGUGGCUUCAUUUUUAUCUUUUUGUUGGUUUUUUUGUUAAUAUUUCGUUAAAAUUAUAUACAAAAAAUUUCAGAUACCCACAUAAGUUUAUCGAAUAUUUACUUUAGUACCUUUUAGUUUUAACUUUGUUACUAAUUUAACGAAGAAAAAUUAGUAGAAUCGAUAAUAAAAAAAUAAAAAUAAAACCACGGAGCACUAAUUGAUACAUUUUAAGUCACAGAGUAUUAAAAUAAAAAAAUGUAAAACUGUAGUGAUGGUAUUUGAAGUUUUUUUUUUUAAAAAAAAGAACUCCAAAGGUGAUAAAAUCAAACAAAAUUUAUGUACUGUUUGGUUCGAGUAUAAGUAAGAACUAGCUAUUACAGGGAUAGGUAUAAGUAUGGGGAUAAGAAAAAUAAUGUUUGGAUGAAAAUUGGGUUAUUUCCGGAGAUAAGAAAAAUUUUAGGUAGUUUUAUAUAGAAAAUGAAAGUGUUAGUAGGGAUAACCGAGAAUUAUUAUUCUCGGAUAAAAAAUUAGCGUUUGGAUAUAAAAGGGAAGAUAAAAGCCUAUUUCUAUUCCUUUCCCCUAAAUUUGUACGUCAUCGCUGUAACUGGCAGGUCCGGUACAAAAACUGUUCCAACGGUCGCGAGGAAAGGACGCGCGAGAACAAGACAAAAGUAUAUAUAUAUAUAUAAUUUUUUUUUUUUUUGCGCGUGGAUCAACCUCAGCCACAGUGCCCCGCUUACCCACCAAGUCAAGAGUAGAACCGUUGAAACGCGCGGUCGGGGCGUCGAAAGGAUGAUAAGGAGUAGUCCACAAGAGGUGGUGUUGCAGGGUGGGGGGAAAGGGCGCACACCCCGGGUUUAAGCUGCCGCUAAACACCCGGACUGCUUCUUAAGAGUGGGUGAACUUGCCGCUGUGCACCGUAUCCAGNAUAAUAAUUGUUUAUGUUGGCACACAUUGUCAACGAUAUCUGAAAUUUUAUUCGAAUCUAAAUUCGAACGGAAUGAAUUUAUUCGAUACUAAAUAAAUAUAAUUUUGAAUAUGAAUAUUAAAAUUAAAAAUAUGACGAAUUUGAAUUCAUGUAUGAAUUUUAAUUGUAUCCGAUUCAAAUCCGAACCAGACCCAAAUCCGAGAUUAUUUGACAUUUUAUAUAUAUGUUUGAUGUUGUAUUAGAAUUUGUAGUUUAAAUAUUUAGACUUAAUGUGAUAUAUUUUGAAAUAUUAUAAAGAGAAAUAAUUAUUUCAGGCCUAGAUUUUCGGGUUCGGACUCGAGUUGAGAUUCGGAUUUUUGAUCAAAUUCGGAUUUGGAUAUUGAUUUUUAAAAUUUGUCAGAUUCGAGUUCGGAUUCGCCUUUUGGGUUUGGUAGUUAGGUUCGGGCUCAAAUAUUUUAAAAUUCGCUCCGAAUCCAACCUGUUGACAUUCCUAAUGUUGGCUAUGUUAUCUUAGACUUCUUCUUAUCCAAGUCUAUCUAUAGUGUAUAAGAGUGCUGCUACAUGUAUCCCAAAAUACAUAUAUUCUAUAAUAUUAUUAUUGAUGACAUAAUAAUAUCAUUAUUACACUCUAAAUAUUAAUUAUUAAAUCGUAACGUAUUAUCAUUAUAUUCUAAAAAUGCUAAGAUAUCAACAAUCAACAAUAUAAUAGGAUAUCCAAAAGUGUGGUAUCCGGCCAAAAUAUUUUUUGAUAUCCGAUAUUCACAAUUUGAAACUUAGUCGUUUUACAUUUUAGUUGAGUUUACAAUUUCAAAAAAUGAACAAAGCUGGUAGCUUACUAUUUUUUUUUCACUCAUACGAGAACACAAAUUUCCAACCUUGCGAUAGAACCCGCUAACCUAACUACUAAGCUAAGGAGAGGGAACGUCAUAACUUUUGCUAUGAACCCUUGCUAGACAAUUUAGGGUUUUUUUUUGGAUUUCCACAUAAAUAUAGGAGAAAUUUAUGUGAAACGAAGCUUAAAAUUAUUUAAAGUUAUCAUUUUUUCCUCCAAAUGUUGCAAUGAAAGUUACUAUUUUUCUUUCUUCUUUUUUUAUUUUUUUUUUAUUUUUUAUGUUUAUAGGUUGUAACCCACACAACUUUCGGCAUGAAGCAAAAUUCGAAUGGAAGCCUCCUAACUAAACAAUUUAAGUAUCAACCAAUUGCUCUGUGAGCGUUGGCAUGAGAAUCAUUAAUGUAAAAGUAAGGUUGUACUGCUUUGUUGUUAAUUUCUUUCGCUGGAACGUAGCUAUACUCAUUCUUCCCUAACAUUUAUAGAAUACGAGAGUCAUUAAUGUAAAAGUGAGGUUGUACUGCUUUGGUAUUAAUUUAUUUCGCUGGAACUUAGUUGUAUUGAUUUCCUAAUAUUUAUAGGAUUUGUUUUUAUCGUAAGACAUCGAAUCCUAUUAUCUCCGAAUAAUUUAGAGUGCAGAGACAAAAUACUUUAGAUAGACUGUUUUUCAAUAAUUUUCCCAGAUUCUCAAUUGUAUUAUUUUUCUACAAUAAUACUGAAACAAAUAGGCAGAGUUGUCACUUGUACUGAAAUGAUCUUUUAUUGAAGUAAAAAGUAGAAACCGAAUUUUAAGUUUUAAUGAAAGUAGAAGUUGAAAAUUGAUCUUUUUUAUUGUACUUAAAAAAAGAUGUUUGUUUGUGGGUCUUAUUAUCGGACCCUUGAUUUUUAGCAUCUAAUUAUUCAAAAUAAUUCUUUCUAUUUGAAAAUAAAGUACCGAAUAGCUGAUCAGAGUCAUACUUAAUUAUUGUUCAUUUUGGGUCUUAUUGUCGGACCUUGGUUCGAAUCUCCGAGUGAAUGGUGCUUAUAUAAUUUCAUAUCUAGACCAUAUUGAUUUUCUUCUAUUAAUGCAUUUACAAACUAUUUCAUCAUACAAAUUUAUUAUAUAUUAUAUAUAUUAAUUAUACAGUAGGACCAAACAAGUUUAGGUCACGCUCAAUAUAGUGCAACGAAGUAUAUACCACGAAGUAUAUACCAUAGUCUCUUAUACUCCAUUAUAGUAGCCUAGUUGCAUUAUUCAAUAUUAUAUGAGAAAUAAAGUAACAAAGGGGAUCUGAUUCUCCAUAACUAAAGGAACUUGGAAACGCUUUUACCUACCAAUUGUUCAUGCAUGGCCUUCUUGGUUCCCUAACCUCAGUUUUUCUUUUUACUCUUUUUCUAAUUUUAAAAAGAUGCAUCAUGAGAUCUUAUAUUUUACUUUAGAUGCUCUUAACCUAGUCAUCUUUGUAGAUUUAAUAAGUUAUGUCAAACUUUGGAACAUUUUUUUUUUAAUGAUAAUUGGUAACAUGUCAAAAGUUUGUUCCAAGAACAAUUCUUUAAAUUUACCCACACAUACAUAGGAAAAGCAUCUAUCUUUAGUUAAGAUAAUAAAAAGAAAAAAAGAAGCAAAAGGAUCCAUUUAGAGCCAAGUAGGGGGAAUAACCCCUAUAAGCAUGGUUGUAAUUAUAAUAUUGCAAGUGAAAUUUUUAAAUGUUACUUUAGAAAAUAAAAAGCUAUUUUAAAGGCAACUUGCUUAAUCAAAUGCUACUUUGUUUUCACAUAUAAUCACCAAUAUCAAGUUACUCAAAUUGACCCCAUCAACAAUUAAGGAUUUUUCGCGCUCCUCGUAAUGAGGGUAACUUAAGAGCAUGUAAUUAAGAUCAAAAUAAGUCCCACUAAUUGUUACUCUUUUUUAGUUUUCAAAUGUUUAAUUCCUUUCCAAAAAAUAUUUAUGAAGGACCAAGAAAAGUACUACUCGGAUUUUGCUUCUUGUUUCACUGCUAGGUUGGUCCUAUGGAAUGGAAAGUUUGCCUUGUAUAUAAGUAGCAGUGUUUUAAAAGUUUGAAGAUAAUGUAAUGUUGAAAGAGUUUUAUAAAAUAAAGAAACACAGAAAAAGAAAAAGAAAAAAAAAAAAGGUGAAAUGGGCCCUUUUGGAGUUUACUUAAUUUUGUGGUGUUCUUGUCGAGAGAUGCCCAUUGACAAGAGCUUCUUCCAAGAAAAAUAUUUUGCAGCAAAGACCAAAUUUUUAGUGGUCCCGAGUCCUCAAAAGUUGAGAAAUUAUAGCAAUCAAGUCCAAUGCAAUAGUAGAUUCUGUGAAUCGCACCUCAUCAUUUCUGUUUAUUUCAUCUCCUGUUUCAGCUCUCAUCAUACGAUCAGUGAUAAUCAUAUAUUUCUUAAAUUAAUUAAUGAAAUUAAGUUCGAUAAAAAGUUGAAUGGUGUGAAUUAAAGCAUAUAAUGAUAUAUAUAUAUAUAUAUAUAUAUAUAUAUAUAUAUAGAGAGAGAGAGAGUUGAGAUGAUGGUGGUAGGUGGUGCUAGGUGGUGGUAGUUGAAUAGUGUUUGAUCCAAAUGCUAUUAGUAAUCAAGAAGUAGAUCCAAGGCCUAGAAACUUAGAAGCAUCAAUGAGAUGGUGCUUCUAAAAGUAUNUCUCUCUCUCUCUCUCUCUCUCUCUCUCUCUCUCUCUCUCUCUCUCUCUCUCUCUCUCAGGCCGACGAUACGAUAGCUAUCGUGGUUUGUGAACCACGAUAGUUCAAAAGACGGCAAUCUAAUUGGGGAAACUAAUAAAAAUGGGCAAACUAAUAUGAUAAGUUGGUUGAUGGGUGAUAUAUAUAUAUAUACUAGCUAUAUAUAUCUUGAUUCCGAUCUUAUGAUUAUCGUAGUUUGAUAACCACGAUAACUAAAAAACUCGGUCAAGAAUAUCUAACUCUUAUUACCCACCAAUCCUACUAAAACCUCGGGGGAAGUAAAUCCAACUCACUCACCAACGCUAACUUAUCACUAAGCAUUAAAUUAGUCUCAUAAAAUUCAUGACUUUUAUUAGAUACUAAAAAGUUAUAUUGCACACAUCUCUAGCUUCGAGUUUUGAGUUAUUAAAAUACCAUAUCUCUAUCGAGAAAGUUAAAUUGACAUAUUUUUAUAAUUUAUAUAUAAAGACUAUAUUUUAAAAUCACAAUAUAAUAGUGAAAAACAUCCUAAAAAUAAAAAUCGGCAACUAAAACUCAGGAAAGCAAACGAUCCGUUUAUUAUAGCUUUUUAGAAUAUUAAAUAAAAGAUCUAUGAAGUUUAUGAGAUCUAGUUCAAAUUGCCUCGGCUAGCAGCUAAGCUUUCAGGUAGUAGCUUUUGCCGGACCUUACCAGACACGAAGGUCUUCGUAUCAUCGGAGUGAUAUAUAUAUAUAUAUAUAUAUAUAUAUAUAUCUCGAUAUAUAUAUAUAUAAGGCCGAUACCACGAUAAUUAUCGUGAUUCGUGAACCACGAUAAUUAAAAAAAUGGUAAUCUAAAUGUGAAAACUAGUCAAAAUGGGCAAUCUAAUAUGAUAAGUAGGUUGGUGGGUAAGUUGGGAUCCUCUAGGUGUAGUAGGAUUGGCGUGUAGAGAAUUAGUUUCCCGGCUUUUGAAUAUCAUGGUUACUUAACGUUUAUAUAGAAAGAUUUAUAUCACUCAAUAUAACAGUAUGUACAAGGAGAUUUAUAUCAUUUAACGACUCUAUAUACGGAUGUUUGAAGUUGAAAUUAUAUAUCAAGAUGAUGUUUUAAGGAAUAUAAAAGUUCGUAAACCACAAAAGCUCAAAAAACGGCAAUUUAGAUAACGAAAUCGGUAAAAGUAGGCAAUCUACUAUGAUAAGUUGAUCGGUGAGUGAGUUGGGAUCCAUACAGGAAAGUAGGACAGGCGUGCACGGAAGUCACUUUACCCGAUUUUUCCAGUUAAGUGGAAUAAUCGAUUAAUCCAAAUUCAUAAUAAUGAUCAUAUCAACGGAUUAAAAAAGAUUACAUAGGAUUAACGUCCCCGUAUAAACUUAUAUAGGCUUGAAAACGUUAAUAUAUUAUAUUAUCAAUAUAAAACAUCUCUAUAUAAAUGUUAAGUGAUACAAAUAUUUCUUAACAUACUUAUAACCCGGGAAUAAUGGUAUGGUCAUUUUAGGAAUUGAGAUUAACCAAACACAGAAAAAGUGAACUGGAGCGUCUCACGAAAUGGGAUUAAAAAAAUUAUAAUAUCAUACCAUGAAAACCUACAUAAGUAUAAACAUACAACUUGAUAAUACAGUAAAAAAAAUAGUUUAAAAUCUAUCAUAAAAUUGCCAUUGUUUAAUCUCACUAUAUAAACUGUUAUAAUCCUUAAAGUUCGUUGAGCAAAUCCCGAGAUAGACCGAGCUGAACUUAAAACAUCCGAGCGAAAUAAAGACGAAGUUAAUAUAAACAUCCCUACGACAUACGGAUUUAAAUACGAGCUUAAUAUUAAAGUUCAGUUCGAAAUCGACUCUAUUAGAGCGAGCUCAAGCCGAGCAAAGGUGGGGAUUACUGUUGAAAACUUCUCUGAUUUCAUAUCGAAAUUACCAAAUAGCGCUAAACGUUAAAUUAUUCCUAUUUGAAUUAAUUUAUAAUUAAAGAUAAUCAAAU